rnacentral:rRNA from 1 species
AUUGAACGCUGGCGGCAGGCCUGACACAUGCAAGUCGAGCGAGCGGCGGACGGGUGAGUAAUGUCUGGGAAACUGCCUGAUGGAGGGGGAUAACUACUGGAAACGGUAGCUAAUACCGCAUACCAUCAGAUGUGCCCAGAUGGGAUUAGCUAGUAGGGGGGGGAAUGGCUCACCUAGGCGACGAUCCCUAGCUGGUCUGAGAGGAUGACCAGCCACACUGGGACUGAGACACGGUCCAGACUCCUACGGGAGGCAGCAGUGGGGAAUAUUGCACAAUGGGCGCAAGCCUGAUGCAGCCAUGCCGCGUGUGUGAAGAAGGCCUUCGGGUUGUAAAGCACUUUCAGCGGGGAGGCGUUACCCGCAGAAGAAGCACCGGCUAACUCCGUGCCAGCAGCCGCGGUAAUUC